CCUACGGGAGGCAGCAGUGAGGAAUAUUGGUCAAUGGUCGGGAGACUGAACCAGCCAAGCCGCGUGAGGGAUGAAGGUACAGAGUAUCGUAAACCUCUUUUGUCAGGGAACAAAGGCGGGGACGUGUCCCCGGAUGAGUGUACCUGAAGAAAAAGCAUCGGCUAACUCCGUGCCAGCAGCCGCGGUAAUACGGAGGAUGCGAGCGUUAUCCGGAUUUAUUGGGUUUAAAGGGUGCGCAGGCGGUCUGUUAAGUCAGCGGGCAAAGCCCGGGGCUCAACCCCGGCCCGCCGUUGAAACUGGCAGUCUCGAGUUGGAGAGAAGUAUGCGGAAUGCGCGGUGCAGCGGUGAAAUGCAUAGAUAUCGCGCAGAACUCCGAUUGCGAAGGCAGCAUGCCGGCUCCACACUGACGCUGAGGCACGAAAGCGUGGGUAUCGAACAGGAUUAGAUACCCGGGUAGUC
rnacentral:rRNA from 1 species